UAAGGCUUGAAUUGUGAUCUCAUAAACCUAUGAGAUCAUUAUUCAAGCUCUUCAAUA
rnacentral:pre_miRNA from 1 species